GACAGAGGUGCCGAGCGUUAGGCGGAAUCACUGGGCUUAAAGCGUGUGUAGGCGGGUCGUUAAGUGUCUUGUGAAAUCCCCCGGCUCAACCGGGGAAUGGCUGGGCAUACUGGCGAUCUUGAGCAGUCUAGGGGCAGAUGGAACAAGUGGUGGAGCGGUGAAAUGCGUAGAUAUCACUUGGAACGCCAAAGGUGAAAACAGUCUGCUGGGGAAUUGCUGGCGCUGAGACACGAAAGCCAGGGGAGCGAACGGG
rnacentral:rRNA from 1 species